ACCUUAGAUGUUCUGGGCCGCACGCGCGCUACACUGAUGCAUUCAACGAGUCUAAAACCUGCUCUGAUAGGGGUGGGUAAUCUUUUGAAUGUGCAUCGUGAUUGGGAUAGAUGAUUGCAAUUUUUCAUCUUCAACGAGGAAUGCCUAGUAAACGCAAGUCAUCAGCUUGCAUUGAUUACGUCCCUGCCCUUUGUACACACCGCCCGUCGCUCCUACCGAUUGAAUGAUCCGAUGAAUAUCAUGGAUUGAGGAUGCAAGUAGGUUAGCCUAUCUUCAUCUUCGAGAAGUGAAGUAAAUCUUAUCAUUUAGAGGAAGGAGAAGUCGUAACA
rnacentral:rRNA from 1 species